AAUAAAUAUUCUAUACAAUAUUAUAUACACACAUAUGUGCCAUUUAUAAAAAUAGAGCCCCGCAAAUGACAUAGCGCAAUAGCCAAUUGCUUUGGAAACAGUUUUGUCUUCUUUUCGUUCACCACUACUUUCUCUAAGCACUAUCGAGUAGCAGAUGGCGGUAAGCCUGCUGGUAUCAAAGUGAGAAACAUGGCCAGAAAUCACGAACAUAAUUUAUUCUACUUCCUUCGUAAUUUGCAUAUACCGCGUUAAAAUAUGACUUCAACUGUAAACAGGGAAUUAUAUAACGCGACGUUGUUAAAGGCAACAUCUGAGAAUAAAGUUGGUCGUUUGCAACUUGCCUCGUUCGCUGGCUGCAAAACAAAGU